rnacentral:rRNA from 1 species
CUGGCGGCGUGCCUAAUACAUGCAAGUCGAACGGUCUUUCUAUGGAAGCUUGCUUCCACUGAGAAGAUAGUGGCGAACGGGUGAGUAACACGUGGGUAACCUGCCCAUAAGAGGGGGAUAACAUCCGGAAACGGGUGCUAAUACCGCAUAGUUUUCUUGAUCGCAUGAUCGGGAAAGGAAAGACGGCCUUUGUGCUGUCGCUUAUGGAUGGACCCGCGGCGUAUUAGUUAGUUGGUGAGGUAACGGCUCACCAAGACGAUGAUACGUAGCCGACCUGAGAGGGUGAUCGGCCACAUUGGGACUGAGACACGGCCCAAACUCCUACGGGAGGCAGCAGUAGGGAAUCUUCCGCAAUGGACGAAAGUCUGACGGAGCAACGCCGCGUGAGUGAAGAAGGUUUUCGGGAAUCGUAAAACUCUGUUGUCAGAGAAGAACAAGUUGGAGAGUAACUGCUCCAGCCUUGACGGUAUCUGACCAGAAAGCCACGGCUAACUACGUGCCAGCAGCUGC